CCGUUCACACCAAGGACGAUAACUAUAAAGCAACAGCCUCUGGUGGAACGGCAACGCCAUUCUGGCGUUGUAUUGCGCAUGCGCGAAUUAAACUGCUACUUUGUGACGUUCUACUUUAACGGUCUACUACGGGAGAACAGCUGAUUUGCCGGAGUCGCUACAACGUGAGAGAUUAGGUAAAUAAAUGUUAUGUUUUAUGGCAUAUGACACUGUAAUUUGCAUCAGUUUAUGAUUGUACCACUAGUGUUUUAUAUAAUAUGUGUUAAAAUGUUUUAAACUUAAGCUAAUUUUAACGAUUUUUUCCGUUUGUAUAAAGAUAUGUCUGUUAGCAACAACACCUCAGGCAGCAUUGAGAUUAGAGAUGAUGUGAAGCGAACAAUAGUCCCUAUGGAGUGGAAAGAGCAACAUGAUGUGCUUCUCUGUAGAGAAAUCCUGCUCACAGAACCAUACAGGUACAAAAAGGGCAGUGUUGACAAGGGCAAGGCCUGGUCAAGUAUAGCAGACACAGUGAAUUGCUCUCAAGAACCCAAAUUCAGAGUUAUGCAGAGGUCACUGAGGGAGCGAUUCAACUUGAUUCAGACGAAAUACAAGGCCAGAAACAAUAAAGACGAGAAGAGCAGUGGAACAUCUGCAGAAAUAACAGAACUUGAUGAACUAAUUGAAGAAAUAACAAAGAAAGAAAGAGCAGCUGAGGAAAACAAAGGGAGUGAUGAGAGUAUGAGGAAGUUAGAGACGGACAGGGCCAAAGCAGAAGAGGCAAGGAAGAAGGCCAUGGAGAGGGUUAGCCAGACCAACAGGAGGCUAAGUGAAGAGGGAGAGGACUGGACAAACAACAAACGUAGGAGAAGGAGUGGGAAUGACACCAUUGAGUUUUUGAGGGAGAGAAGCCAGACUGAGAGGGUUCUAAGAGAAAAGGAAUUGGAAUUGAAAAAAAUACAGGUUGAAGAGCAAGCAAAAGCAGCACAACAAACACAAAAGCAGAUGAAUGACAUGAUGCAACUAAUGCAACAACAGCAAAUGCAGGCAAUGCAGACUAUGCUACUUCAGCAACAGCAAGGGCAAGCAUUACUUAGCCUCAUUGAAAAUAUGUCAAAGAAAUGAUUAUUCUUUUGCAAUUUAAAAACAUUUAUUUGUGAUUUCAUUCAUAAAACAUUUCAAUGUAUAAAUCCUUCUAUUAAUAAUAAAAUAUAAAAUCUGUUAACA
ensembl:lncRNA